AGAGCGAACGCUGGCGGCAGGCUUAACACAUGCAAGUCGAGCGGGCGUAGCAAUACGUCAGCGGCAGACGGGUGAGUAACGCGUGGGAACGUACCUUUGGUUCGGAACAACACAGGGAAACUUGUGCUAAUACCGGAUAAGCCCUUACGGGGAAAGAUUUAUCGCCAAAAGAUCGGCCCGCGUCUGAUUAGCUAGUUGGUGAGGUAACGGCUCACCAAGGCGACGAUCAGUAGCUGGUCUGAGAGGAUGAUCAGCCACAUUGGGGCUGAGACACGGCCCAAACUCCUACGGGAGGCAGCAGUGGGGAAUAUUGGACAAUGGGCGCAAGCCUGAUCCAGCCAUGCCGCGUGAGUGAUGAAGGCCCUAGGGUUGUAAAGCUCUUUUGUGCGGGAAGAUAAUGACGGUACCGCAAGAAUAAGCCCCGGCUAACUUCGUGCCAGCAGCCGC
rnacentral:rRNA from 1 species